rnacentral:rRNA from 1 species
GACGAACGCUGGCGGCGCGCUUAACACAUGCAAGUCGAACGGAAAGGCCUGCUUUCCCUUGUGGAUUGCGGGUACUCGAGUGGCGAACGGGUGAGUAACACGUGAGUGAUCUGCCCCCAACUUGGGUAUAAGCCUGGGAAACUGGGUCUAAUUCCCGAUAGGACUGCAGGGUGGUGCCUGUGGUGGAAAACGAUUUUCUAGUGGUUGGGGAUGAGCUCGCGGCCUAUCAGCUUGUUGGUGGGGUAAUGGCCUACCAAGGCGGCGACGGGUAGCCGGCCUGAGAUGGUGGACGGCCAAAUUGGGACUGAGAUACGGCCCAGACUCCGAGGGGAGGCAGCAGUGGGGAAUAUUGCACAAUGGGCGGAAGCCUGAUGCAGCGACGCCGCGUGGGGGAUGACGGCCUUCGGGUGGUAAACUCCUUUCGACCGCGAGGAAGCCACCUGGUUGGAAGGGUGGUGACGGUAGUGGUAGAAGAAGCACCGGCUAACUACGUG